CUCCCUUCUUGCCUCCGGGCCCUCCAUCGGACGAGACGGCAGCAGUUUUGUCCUUUUUGUUAUUUUUGCAUCGUUUGAAAUGCCACGGGAAUCCAGAGAUCGAGUCUCAGGCUCAAAAGGAAAUUCAGGAAGACUGUCCAAUAGUUGCUGCUGUGCUUGACAUCAGCUAAGCAGCAUACGUGUCUCCCAAUGUAUGUUGACUUGGCAUCGCAGUACACAGAACAAGAAAUGGCCCUUUUUUCUCAUGAUCCAAGGAAUGAAUCUGGUAUUCAGAUUUCACCUCAAGUCCCCAGCAACCAGCAGAAAGAAGCCGGCUACUAGAGGAAGACUUACUCUUAUAAUGUAAAUGAUUUGAAACAAUAAAGAAUUUAAAAAAUGACUA